rnacentral:lncRNA from 1 species
CCAAAAUCCCAUCGGGCCGGACUGGCACCCGAAGCCGAGAAGGCCCGGGAGAACCCGUUCAAAUACCUGUACUUUCACUUACAUGUCACCAAAAAUUGGACAGCACUUCGUUGCAUAUAGAAGGAUCUAAUUACCUGUAUCAGCACAACACGCACAAAUAUAUAUAUAUAUUUGGCCGUCGGGGCCACGACAUAUACAAAUAUAACAUUACUAUAUAAACUUCCAUGACUUUACCCUUCCUUAUGUCUACAAAGCCUCUAGGAUAUACAUGACAUAACUAGGGUCGGGACAAACCCCCGCCCACACAUGACUCCUGUACAAUAACAAAAUAUAAGAAACCGACUCGGAAAGCUCCGAAGCAAACUGGAGCUCACCAACAAUAGCUGUAUGACCUGGCUCC